GCGGUUGUGGCGGAACUGGUAGACGCGCAACGUUGAGGUCGUUGUGGGGAGACCCGUGGAGGUUCGAGUCCUCUCAACCGCACCA
rnacentral:tRNA from 1 species